rnacentral:lncRNA from 1 species
UGGGCUGGCUAAUCAGUUCGGGCCACUGGAUUGGGGCCAGGUUGGGUGCAAGGAAAGCCCAAGCGUAGGUGCGGAGGGCAUUCGUGGUAGCCCAUUCGUGGGUGCGGAGGGGAUUCGCAUGAGCCCGUUCAUGGGUGUGAAGGGCACUGAGGGCAUUAUGGCACUUAGGCUUUCUGAGCCACAACCGAAGGGGGCCUCGAGUGGGCCAUGCACAGGGCCUCUUAAACACAUGCGGCCCAAUGAUUUUGAUGC